rnacentral:rRNA from 1 species
AUUGAACGCUGGCGGCAUGCCUUACACAUGCAAGUCGAACGGCAGCACGGGAGCAAUCCUGGUGGCGAGUGGCGAACGGGUGAGUAAUAUAUCGGAACGUGCCCAGUCGUGGGGGAUAACGUAGCGAAAGCUACGCUAAUACCGCAUACGAUCUAUGGAUGAAAGCGGGGGAUCGCAAGACCUCGCGCGAUUGGAGCGGCCGAUAUCAGAUUAGGUAGUUGGUGAGGUAAAGGCUCACCAAGCCGACGAUCUGUAGCUGGUCUGAGAGGACGACCAGCCACACUGGGACUGAGACACGGCCCAGACUCCUACGGGAGGCAGCAGUGGGGAAUUUUGGGACAAUGGGCGCAAGCCUGAUCCAGCAAUGCCGCGUGCAGGAUGAAGGCCUUGGUUGUAACUAGCUUUGUA